CUCAGGAUAGAGGAUCCAAGACUCAGGAUAGAGGAUCCAGGACGCAGGACCACAGCAACAGGAUCAGCCUCGACUCCGGAAAGGGAUUGUAAAUAUUUCUUGUGUAACAUGAUUUUUGCCGCAAAGAAAUUCCAAAAUGUAGAGAUGUUGCAUCAAGGGACCUGAUCCCUAACUGCUGGAUGGAACAUGUAGAUAUUACUAAAGAGACUGAAAUAUCAACAACUACUUGGAUUCAUUCCAAAAUACAUGUAGCUGUUGAAAAGCUCAUUGGGGUAUUGGAGAGGAACGUGCGUUUGCUGAUGGAGUUGCGGAUGCCGAAAUGUUUCUGUUUGACAUGUUUUGCAAUAGUAUGACGGAAAAUAUGAACCAACCAACCAUAGUGUAGUAUUUUGAUAAAUAUUUAUAAAUGCAUGUUGAGAAGAACAAGAGAAACUACAGUAUGGUGUGUUCUUGGAAAAUGUUUAAUCUGUGAAAGUAAAGGAGACGCAGAAACCGU